CAGGGAGACAACAAAAUGUUUAAUAUUAUUAUUUUGUCACCUUAGGUCGAUCGGUAUCUCACGUUCUUAAUUUGUUAAGAAUUUCAUUUCCUAAGUUUUUCUAGGUCACACCCAUUAUUUUUCCUGGGCCAUUAGCUCAGGUGGUUAGAGCGCACCCCUGAUAAGGGUGAGGUCCCUGGUUCAAGUCCAGGAUGGCCCAUACUCUAUGUUGGGGGUAUAGCUCAGUUGGUAGAGCGCCUGCUUUGCAAGCAGGAUGUCAGCGGUUCGAGUCCGCUUACCUCCACUGAUUACCACCUCUUCCAUAACCGGUAGAAAGGAAAUGUUUUGAGUUGUGAUCAUUAUUCUGAACGAAUCUAGCUUCCUAAUGAAACCAUUAAGAUGCUGGACUCAUUGAAUUAAUUUCAUUGUUUUCAGAGAACCUUGACAACUGCAUAGAUUUUUUUAAAGACAAUAAGCAUCUUUAAUGAUGCAGAUUUAUUAUUUGUGCGAAUGCAUUAAUAACAAUUCUAUUAAGCUGAUGCUUCAAUUUUUGAAGUUAUU
rnacentral:tRNA from 1 species